UCCAAGCUAAUUUAACUAGAGUGAGGUCAGUGGAAAUUGCUUUUUGGAAGAUGUUUAAAUGCCACCCUUAGUAAGGAGGUCGUGGGUCCAGACAAAGUCAACAGUCUUUAGUUAUAUUUGGCCUUGUUUCGUUGAGAAAUUUAAAGAUAGCCUGUAUGGUGUCUACCAGCUAAGUGUCAGGAAGCAAAGGUGGUUUAGAAAUCUCAAAGGGUAGAUCUCAGCACUAGAGGGCGUUAUCCUGGAUCCAGUUUUCAACACUUUAGCCAGGUGACUUAAUGGGGUCUCAGGCCAGCUUCCCGGUCAGAUCAGCAUAGGUAAACUCUGGAUACCCAAGCCUACACCCAGCUUUUGGUACCAUGUCAGUGUGGGCGCAGACAAAUGGAGGUCCCACCAAGAUCGGGAAAGUGAAGAAUUUUUCUGACGAGGUCAUCCCAUGGCACCAUGAAGCGGGAGACAGUGAAGGACACUGCGGGAAUUGAAAGCAUGUGCAAAGAAAAAUAAAGAUGGGUUAGUGGUGAGUAAAACUUGUAAAAAAAAAAAAAGGACAAGGUAAUGGUAAAAUGUUUUUGUGUAUGUGUUCUUUUAGAGUUAUGCUAAAAUCUAGAGAAGCAAAGUGAAUCCUCAUCGAUACUUUUAGUCUUUGGACCCUGACUAGAGAUAGUUUCCACCCUAGACAUGAGAGAGAAUGGGUUUGAGAAAUACAGUCCCCCUGGACUCUCCAAGGAUGCUUUGGCAAAAGAGAAGGAAAAUGAGCUUAAGCUUUUUUGGAGUUCUCCUAGGGACAGAAAAAAGGCGGGAGACAUCCUGCCUCCUUGCUGGCUCCUAUUAGAGAAAUGCUUAUUUCUAGUUCUGGGAUCCUUUAGGUAGGAUAUCUGGGUCCCUUUGGUGGGACACAAUCUAGUUCUUUCCCUCCAUGUCUAUUGUCUGUCCUUGAUGCACCAAGCUGUCCAUGUCUGUCAGUUUAUGUUUUUUGUUUCGUUGCUUGAAUGUUGUUCUGUGUUUCAUGUUCAAAAGAAAAAAUGGUAAAAGCCUUAAAUGCUGGUUGUUCACCCCUUGAUUUUAGUUUUGACUUGUUUCAAAAAAGGAACAAAUAAAUAAAAAGCAGUUUCAACUGUCCUUUGGACCCCUGCACCUGUAGCGAGGAGUCUCUUAGAAAAAUCCCUGACUCUGAUUAUUGGAUUUAGCUGGUGACAAGGUGCUUCUCUUAAAAUUAGAGCUAGAAAAUGUAUAAAUUGUGUUUGGUCUAGAUAUUAAAGAUAUCUGUAGCCACUUCAUUGCUUUUUCAUUUCUGAUUGGUUUUAAAUGUAUUAAAACACUCUAUAGAUUAUUGGCUUUUAAGUUAUUGAGUAUGGUUAAAAGGUUGUAACAUUGGUAACAGAAAGUUGGUUUAAAACUGAUAAUCCGGAUGGAGUCGUUCUAGACAACACGUGGCAUGAGCCAACCCAGGGAAACAGGUCUAAAUUGGGAUAAUAUUUUUAUGGAAUUCUUAUUCUAGAAACCAGACUUAUAAAAGAAUUUGAGGUAAUGUCUCUUUGUUGAGGUAUCAGAGCCUGCACUAUCGCACGUUCGUGCGCAGGAAUUGGCAGCCAAACUUUAUAACAUGAGAGAUGGACUCGGUGUUUUGGAGAGACUGGAUUUUGGAGACUGGAUGGUUUGUUGGAGUUUGAGUUUUGCUUUCCAAAGUUGUGGUCGUGCUUUGGUGUUACAAGGAAAACUUGAAGAUUGUAGUUAAAGAUUGCCAGUGUUACAUUGGCUACGGUUUGCAGUUCGAUCACAGACAGGCUCAGGAUGCUAACUCAUGCCUAUUUGUAAUUAAGAAAAAAAUCAAACAGGUAGAGAUUGUUACAGGAUUUGCGAAGGGUUGGUGAGGCUAUGGAACUUGUGAGAGCAUUACAGCCUGUUUGCUUACUCCAACUGCCAUUUCGAGAAAUACAUUUAAAUCAUUAUGGAUUUAGAGGAUUUUUUCUAUGCUGUUGCUUUACAUCCUGGUGAUUGUGAAAUGUUUUAAUUUAGUGAGCUUGCUUAUAACUUUGGAGAGCCCAUGAAGUGACAUCGUUGGAAAGUUUUUCCUCAGUUACUUAUGGCCCUUUUGUCACUGCUUCAGUACAAGAAGUUAGGACUUUGACUCUUCCAGUAUAUAUUAUUCAUUAUACAGGCAUUUUAUUAGCUGAUCCCUCUGAAGGAAUUUUACUACAAGCCUUUGCUCUUACAACAUGUUUUAAAUUUUGGGGAAGUAGCUGUCGCUCCAGAAAAGAUUCAAUAUUCCUUUUCAAUAUCUGAGACAUUGAUUAUAUCCUAAAAAAAAAAUUGUGGCACAGAAAAUUCAAGAUAGUUUACUUUAAAUUAUUUUUUAAAGGCUUCUAAAGAUAUGUAAAUUGGCUAAGACCUCACCUUAAGCUUACCACGGAGGACUUAAGCCUUUGAUAUCCACAAGGCAGAUGCAGAUCCUAAUUCCUCUAGACAAUUAACUGAUGAGGAAGGAAUAGCUUUGCAGAAAACAGAGAAAGCUAUGUGUCAUCAACAGAUACAUUAAUUAUACAGACUAUGAUCAAUUGUUGUUAUUUAUACCCACAGUAGUCCUUUGACAAAAGAGACCGUUAAUAUGGACUUAUUUUUCCUCUCCAAGUAAAAGUUUUAACACUCUAUUAUGAAGCUGUUACUGUGUUAAUACAGAAUUGUAGGAUUGAGUCGUAGAAGUAUUUUGAAAAAGAACCUGAUGAAACAUACCUUAUUCCAAACAGCAAUUAAAUUGGUUAUUACAGAAUACCAAUAUUUGGCCUAUUACAUAUACAAACUUUUCAGACAAAAUUGAUAGUUUUCCUCUAUGUGUGCUUUUGUAUUUCCUGUAAAUUUGUGCAUGCAGCUCAUAGAAAAUGUGCUUACUGUAUGUAUAGAAGGUUCAUCUAAUGAGAAGGCAACAUCUGUAAUUGGAUCACAUGUUUAUUCUCUUGCGUUUCCCCCUGCUUCAGCACAGAUUAUUGAAUUAUGUGCUGUAGCCACUGUUUUUGAAAUGUUGAAAAAAAUCAAGCUUUCAAUUCAUAUACUGAUAGCCAAUAUGUAGUUUAUGGUUUGCAAUUGAUUAAAUUUUUUCCUUUUUUAGAUACUGCUAACCCUCAAAUUUUACAAUUACUUAUGCUAUACAACUGAUUUAAGAGAAUGUACUGUUCCUUUAUAGGCCAUUUAAGAACUCAGACUGGAUUGCCUGGACUCCUUAGCAAGGGAGGGAAUGCCACAAUAGAUUUAUGUACAGGCAGAUUAUAGGCCUUACAUAGGAACAAUUAGCCAAACAAUCUUAUUCUUUAUAUCAUCAGAACAGUAAUAGCUAGAGACACUGAUUUGGUACACAAACCAAAUUGUAAAUACAAGUCCUCAGUGUCCUCAGCUUCUUCCUGUAUCACACAAUGGUGUUAAUCCUUGAGGACGUAUACCUUAUAAGUUAUGGCAAAUAGAUGUUACCCAUAUUACUGAGAUUCCUUAUAAUUCUCAAGGACUAGACAUUAUAAAACAGGUGUUUUAAAACUUUAAAACAAUAAAAAAGGGGGAGUUAUAUCCCUGUAUGCCAUACAAUUAUUUAAAUAAUGCUCUUUUUAUUUUAAAUUUUAAAAUUUGGAUGCCAACGAACUCUUGAGUGUUUACGGCACCCUACAACUGGGCAUACUUCUGCCUAGGUGAAAUGGAAGGAUCCACAUACUGGCUUAUGGCAUGAUCCUGUUCAGCUAUUUAAUAUGGGGAAGAGGGCAUGUUUGUGUUUUUUCUGCAGGAUGCUGCAGGUGUAUGCUAGCUGCCAGAGUGUCUAGUGAGACAUGUUGAUCCUGGGACAAAGAAUGAUGCUGACCAUGAGCUUGCUGAGUGACUGGAAAGCUGUUUUUGACAUAUGCUCCUGACCCAUCUUUACUUUCCUAUAUCCCAGAUUGGACAACCUGACUUGCUUUAAGCUUUUAGACCUUGUGGGACAGAGAACAUGGAGACUAUAGGAAAUGCCUUCAGAAAAUCAAAGAGAAGUUAUGACUCUUCUCUUUCCUUUAACAUGAAAAGUUAUUCUGACUCAACCAUAGGCUGGUCAAUCCAAUAUUGGAAAUAACAGUUUUCAUUUGGAAGAUUGGUUCUGGACAUUUUUAGAGACAUUUCAAAGUUCACAAUUGUCUUGUAUGAAGUCACAUUGGCAGUGAAAAAAGACUGGUACAGGAGCUGGACUUUAAACAAAUGUUAGCACAUGUGCUAAAACUGCUAAUCUUUUAUUUAUUGGUCAUGUUAAAGUUACUUUUGUUUCUUCUACAAUAUUUAAUGUAAGUUACAUUGAUUGUACACUGUCUAAUUUUGUUACUAUUGAAGCCUGGCAUAUACCAGCUUUUGUUUCAUUGCUUGUGAGUAUUAUAGGACCUUGAUAUUCUGAAAGGCUUACAAAUAUUGGAAGAAGUGAGUCAGGCUUUAAACAGAAGCAAUAGGAUAGUGGGUUUGAUUAUUGCUGGUAUAGUGGUAUAGCUAUUUAAUUAAUAACACUAUUGCUUAGACCCAAGAAGUUAUGUUACUUUUGUUAUUCAUUUAACAAAAAUGUUAAUGUUAAUAUUUUGAGUAUUCAAGAGGAUUUAUACGUUUGGAACAAUGGAUUGAUGAUCUUGGUUUUACCCCAAUGCUGGAGAUUCUUCGCUGGAGCCAUCUUCGUGAGGCUGCUGGGGACCAGGGAAUUCUGCCCUGGUUAUGUGGAUCUCGGGCAUGGUUCCAUUGCCUCUUGGUCAUUCUGGAGAGAAAAUCAGCUGAUCCUGAACCUUCAUGGGAAAGACUUUGGAAUCUUUGCUGCUAUUGUAGCAGCCACUGUGGCUGCAGUGUCUGGGAUUGCCCUCCCCCACGAUGAUGUUAAGGCAAGCACAGUAUAUAAACUUUCAGGAGAAGUUGCUGACAAUUGGGAAUUCUAAAUUUAAAUCAACAGUCAAUGCUCUUACAGGAACAGCUUGACAAUGGCCCUCAGUAUUAUGGCCCUCUGGCGAUGCAGUAGUCAGCCUUGUUCUUCUUAUCACAUGUGUAGACAGCACUCCUAGUCCCAGGCAGCGACUAAGUGGGUGUUGCUCUCCUUGGCAGGAGACAAUCCCUCUGCCCAAAUCUGGCUCAGUCUUUAUGAGAAGCAGUUAGCCAAUGACGGGCAACUCUUUGGGGCCAAUCCUCACCUAAGACAGGGGCUCUACGACUGGCAGAGAGUCCCAGAGAUGGGCAAGAGGUUUUCACCGCAAAGUGUCCUAAGACAGGCACUGCUUAAUAAAAAAAUGAAAAGGGGGGAUUUGUUGGACCCUCCUGGGCCCCUGUCAGUGUUUGACCCCUGCUGAAGCCUCACUGAUGCUUGUGGAAACUUUUUGUUCCUAACAAAGGAACACCCUGGCCCUGAACGGCAUGCCUAGGUAGCACACCUGGGCAAUAACACUGCUAAUCGGUUCCUGUCUUUUGUUCCUCUUUCUUGUCCCUGAGGGUGUAAGCUGGUUUUUCCAUUGUGCUUCCUGGAAUUUUCCAUCCGGUGAACUUUGGGUAUAUAUUUGGUGAAUCAAGUAAAAUAUUUGGCAUUCUCGUAACAUAAAUGACCCGAGUUUGUGUUUUUUUCUUAAACCUCACAGGCCUAUGCCCGGCUCUCGGUACCGUGUCAGUGCCUGCACCGACAAUGAAGGACUUUGUUUCCCUAAUUUCUUUUCCAGCCUGUUUAUUUUUUUGUAUAAAGGAGGGUUACUGAGAUUUGUUUUGUUUGAGUUAAUUUUGUAUCAAGCCACUUUGCUGAACGUGUUUAUCAACUGAUGGCAUUCUAUGGUAGGAUUUCUGGGAUUGCUUAUGUAUAACUAUCAUAGUAUCCACAAAUAGUGAUGCUUUGACUUCUUUCCAAUUUGUAUCCUCUUGAUCUUCUUUUGCUGUCUUAUGGCUCUAGCUAGAAUUUCAAUUACUAUAUUGGGUAGAGAGCAAGAAUAAAGGGCAGCCUUGCCUUGUCCCUGACUUUACUGGAAUUACUUUUAGUUUAUUUCCAUUUCAUUUGAUGCUGGCUCCUGGCUUGUUGUAUAUUGGUAGUAGAAUGGAUAAAGAAAUUUGGUACAUCUAUACAAUGAAAUACUAUUCAGCUAUUAAAACGAACUCUGCGGCCAAAUGGAUGGAACUUGAGAAUAUCAUCCUGAGUUAGGUAACCCCGAGCCAGAAAGACACAUGUGGUAUGUACUAACUUCUAAGUGGACGUUAGCCAGGUGCAGAACAAGCAUGUUCCAAUCCAGAGACACUGGGUAAUAAGGAGGUCCCAUGGGAGGAUGUGUGACUCUCGCUCAGAAGGGGAAACUAGUCAUCAGAGGUAGCUGGUGAGAGGGAACUGAGAGGAGAGGAGGUAAGGAGGGGAACAGGGAUGAUAUCCAGUGUGGGGAUGACCAAGCCAGCUCAGUCAGUCAACAGGUUCUACACAGCAGGGGUGAGGAUUGAAAAGAAAAAAGACAGUUAGACAACAUUUGACAUGACUGCAGCCAGUUCUGAGGCUGAAACAGAUGUUUUAUUUUCCAAUUUGCUUUUAUACUACUUUAAUUACAUGUAGAAUAAUAAGAACAAGCAAGGCUUCUGUAAAUACCUUUCUAGGGGUUAGUCAGGAUGACCUAGACAAAAGGACUGCCACACAUGCUUCUGCUGAGCCUGCUCUGAGCUUUACAUUAGCUCAAAUGCAAAGGAUCUUAAUUAGGGCCAUUUCCUGAGCCCAAGCCUAAAGCCAGACUCGUGCCCUAGGCUUAUUCCUUUGUCCUGAUAAGGUCAGAUUCCUGCCAAGUGUCUAGAGGUGAAGCAAGAGGCCCCAAAAGGCUCUCUGCAUGGGGAGAAGAUGGGAAUGGAAAGGACUAGAAGCAAGAAUGGAAAUUGGUAGGGGAAUUUGGUGACUGACUGGAAGCCUGGGGUCGGCAACAAUAUGGAGAGUCUAGGGGUGACCCUACCUGAGAGAGUGGGAUUAGAGACUGAAUCAGACACCUCCUGUAGACAGGCAGGACUUCCAGAGGAGAGAGGCAGACGUCCACCCACCCACAAAACCUUCAACCCAAAAUUUGUUUUGCCUACAAGACGUGCAGGGACAAAAAUGGAGCAGAGACUGGGGGAACAGAUAGCCAGUGGCUGCCCCAGCCUGAGACCCAUCUGUCUUAGCUAGGGUCUUACUGCUGUGAACAGACACCAUGAUCAAUGUAGUUUUAUAAAGAACAACAUUUAAUUGGAGCUGGCUUACAGGUUCAGAGGUUCAGUCCAUUAUCAUCAUAGCAGGGAGCAUGGCAUCAACACGGCAUCCAGGCAGGCCUGGUGCAGGAGUGUUGUCGUAAAAAUAUAAAAAUAAAAAAAAGUACGGUUGUCUUUUACCCCACUAGGUCCAGCACCGCAGUGCCCCAAGAUAUCUGCUAGAUAUCUUGGCAGAAACACAUCCCAACCCCGCGGCAGCCCAGUGUCUCCUGCCACCACACACUUUCCUACACUCAAACUGUCACAUAAAAGAACACACAACACAAUAACCUUUGACUGAAAUGGUAAGAUAUAAUUGCCCACUUAAACAUACAAAGCCCGGUACCGUCCAUCUCUUAGGAACAUUAAUAACAACCUGUAAAUACACAGAGCAGAAUCUUAACGUCACCUGCCAUGGCUUCUCACCCUCUCCCCGUCUCUCCCUUUCUGUUCCAGUCUCCUCCUCUUCCUUCAAGCUUCUCUCCCGCCCAUCCUUCCUUCUCAUCCAAUGACAGGCCUCCUUCUAUCUUGUGCCUGCCUCACCUAUGACAUCAUCCUACACAGGAGGAGCUGAGUUCUACAUCUUCACCUGAAGGAAGUCAGGAACAGAAUGAGCAUCCCUAGGAGGAGGAUCUCCAAGCCCACCCCCACAGUGACACACUUCCUCCAACAGAGCCACACCUUCUAAUAGUGCCACUCCUGGACCAAGCAUAUGCAAACCAUCACACCAUCCUAUGUCAGAGAGCCAACCCCUGAUACUGUUAAUGAUGCUCUGCUAUGCUUACAGACAGGAACCUAGCAUAACUGUCUCCUGAGAGGCUUCAUCCAGCAGAGGAAGGAGGAAGAUGCAGAGACCCAUAGGUAAACAUUAGGCAAAAAGCCCUGGGGGUCUUAUGGAAGAGUUGGGGACAGAUGUUAGCAAGCUCUGGGGUCAGCGACACCACAAGAAAACCCACAGAGUCAAUUUACCUGGGUCCAUGGGGACUCACAGAGCCUGGGCCACCAACCAGGGAGCAUGCAGGAGUUGGAUCUAGACCCCUACACAUUUGUAGUCAAUGUGCAGUUUGGUCUUCAUGUGGGUCUUGUAACAGGGCUGUCUCUGACUCUGCUCCCUGACAUUGGAUUACCUUCCCUCUACCUGGACUGUCUGGUUGGGUUGCACUGGGAGAGGAUGUGCCUAGUUCUGCCAGGAUUAGACAUCUCAGAGUGGGGUAGUACAAAAGGGGGCAGUGGGGAGAGGCAUUGGUAAGGGUAGGACCAGACAAGGGAGGGUGCUGUGAUUGGGAUGUAAAGUGAAUAAAAAAAAUAACAAAUUAUUGAAAGGGUAUGGAGAGCUUUUGGGGCCACUUCUAGUAAUUUGGCAGGAAUUUGAUAUCAGGCUGGGACAAUGAAGCAGGUGCAAAGCAAAUACAACUGAGGAAUGUAUUGUAUCCCUUGUGUCUGGAGCAUCCUGAGAAACCCCUAGACAUGGUGACCACGGACUUUGUUUAUUGCCUUGAUUUUUGCCCUGCUUGUUCCUUGACUACUUUGUUUGUGCUUUGCUUGUUCCUUGCCCACUUUGUUUGUGCAUUAAGGACUGACCAUAUUCUUUGCCUGUACCCAGAGUGAUAUAAAAGUGGACUGGAAAAAAUUAAACUUGCCUCAGCCUCAGAACCGGCUGGGGUCAUGCUACAGUGC